rnacentral:rRNA from 1 species
GCCUGCAGCAAUACCACCCAGUGCUGUUAUCCUGUCUGAUCUCAUAAGCUAAGCAGGGUCAGGCCAUGUAAGUACUUGAAUAGGACACCUUUGAGGAUCACCUACGUGCUGCAAGAA